UUCUAGCCGAAUUUGAACAAAAGAAAAAAAGGAAGAAAGCUAGCUAGGUUCGGCCAUUGUUGUGCCUAAAUUUAAGAUCAAUAAACGAAGAAAACAGAAUUGGAUCGGGGGGAAACGAAAAUAGUCGAGUAGUCGAUUGUGUCCGCUGAUAUCCGAGAUUUUGGAGUCGCGUUACGAGCUCGGGGAUCGUCAGCAUAGUCUAUCACACUAUCGACUGUCUUUGGUAUUUUAUAAAUUUUGAAUUCGAACCUAUGGCAUGUAUAGUCUAGUUAAUAUGUUUAAUUUUGGGACGUGUAAAUAUGAGCCAAGCGAAAAUGGCUUAUUCAUUUUUGUUAAGUUUGGUUUUAUGUUUUUGAUCUAUUUGGUAUAUAUAUAUUUAUAUUUAUAUGAUGUU